AGCGGGGAGCGAAGCUUGCUUUGCUCCGCCGGCGACCGGCGCACGGGUGAGUAACGCGUAUGCAACCUGCCCGUUUCAGCGGGAUAACCCGGAGAAAUCCGGCCUAAUACCGCAUGUGGCCGAGGGAAGGCAUCUUCUUUCGGCCAAAGGAGGCGACUCCGGAGACGGAUGGGCAUGCGUGACAUUAGCUUGUUGGCGGGGUAACGGCCCACCAAGGCGACGAUGUCUAGGGGUUCUGAGAGGAAGGUCCCCCACACUGGUACUGAGACACGGACCAGACUCCUACGGGAGGCAGCAGUGAGGAAUAUUGGUCAAUGGGCGAGAGCCUGAACCAGCCAAGUCGCGUGAAGGAUGACGGCCCUACGGGUUGUAAACUUCUUUUGUCAGGGAGCAAUUGAGUCCACGUGUGGGCUUAGCGAGAGUACCUGAAGAAAAAGCAUCGGCUAACUCCGUGCCAGCAGCCGCGGUAAUACGGAGGAUGCGAGCGUUAUCCGGAUUUAUUGGGUUUAAAGGGUGCGUAGGCGGAAUAUCAAGUCAGCGGUAAAAAUUCGGGGCUCAACCCCGUCGUGCCGUUGAAACUGAUGUUCUUGAGUGGGCGAGAAGUAUGCGGAAUGCGUGGUGUAGCGGUGAAAUGCAUAGAUAUCACGCAGAACUCCGAUUGCGAAGGCAGCAUACCGGCGCCCAACUGACGCUGAAGCACGAAAGCGUGGGUAUCGAACA
rnacentral:rRNA from 1 species